rnacentral:rRNA from 1 species
UACGUAGGUGGCGAGCGUUGUCCGGAUUUACUGGGCGUAAAGGGAGCGUAGGCGGACUUUUAAGUUAGAUGUGAAAUACCCGGGCUCAACUUGGGUGCUGCAUUUCAAACUGGAAGUCUAGAGUGCAGGAGAGGAGAAUGGAAUUCCUAGUGUAGCGGUGAAAUGCGUAGAGAUUAGGAAGAACACCAGUGGCGAAGGCGAUUCUCUGGACUGUAACUGACGCUGAGGCUCGAAAGCGUGGGGAGCAAACAGGAUUAGAUACCCCGGUAGUCCCU